GAUGAAGAACGUAGCGAAAUGCGAUAAGUAGUGUGAAUUGCAGAAUUCAGUGAAUCAUCGAAUCUUUGAACGCACAUUGCGCCCCUUGGUAUUCCAUGGGGCAUGCCUGUUCGAGCGUCAUUUGUACCUUCAAGCUUUGCUUGGUGUUGGGUGUUUGUCUCGCCUUUGCGUGUAGACUCGCCUUAAAAUAAUUGGCAGCCGGCGUAUUGAUUUCGGAGCGCAGUACAUCUCGCGCUUUGCACUCAUAACGACAGCGUCCAAAAGUACAUUUUACACUCUUGACCUCGGGUCAGGUAGGGAUACCCGCUGAACUUAAGCAUAUCAAUAAGCGGAGGA
rnacentral:misc_RNA from 1 species